GAUGAACGCUGGCGGCGUGCCUAAUACAUGCAAGUCGAGCGAAUGGAUUGAGAGCUUGCUCUUAUGAAGUUAGCGGCGGACGGGUGAGUAACACGUGGGUAACCUGCCCAUAAGACUGGGAUAACUCCGGGAAACCGGGGCUAAUACCGGAUAACAUUUUGAACCGCAUGGUUCGAAAUUGAAAGGCGGCUUCGGCUGUCACUUAUGGAUGGACCCGCGUCGCAUUAGCUAGUUGGUGAGGUAACGGCUCACCAAGGCAACGAUGCGUAGCCGACCUGAGAGGGUGAUCGGCCACACUGGGACUGAGACACGGCCCAGACUCCUACGGGAGGCAGCAGUAGGGAAUAUUCCGAAAUGGACGAAAGUCUGACGGAGCAACGCCGCGUGAGUGAUGAAGGCUUUCGGGUCGUAAAACUCUGUUGUUAGGGAAGAACAAGUGCUAGUUGAAUAAGCUGGCACCUUGACGGUACCUAACCAGAAAGCCACGGCUAACUACGUGCCAGCCGCCGCCGUAA
rnacentral:rRNA from 1 species